rnacentral:rRNA from 1 species
ACGAACGCUGGCGGCGUGCUUAACACAUGCAAGUCGAACGAUGAAGCCUAGCUUGCUAGGUGGAUUAGUGGCGAACGGGUGAGUAAUACGUGAGUAACCUACCUUUAACUCUGGGAUAAGCCCGGGAAACUGGGUCUAAUACCGGAUACGACCAAUCUCCGCAUGGGGUGUUGGUGGAAAGCGUUAUGUAGUGGUUAUAGAUGGGCUCACGGCCUAUCAGCUUGUUGGUGAGGUAACGGCUCACCAAGGCGACGACGGGUAGCCGGCCUGAGAGGGUGACCGGCCACACUGGGACUGAGACACGGCCCAGACUCCUACGGGAGGCAGCAGUGGGGAAUAUUGCACAAUGGGCGCAAGCCUGAUGCAGCGACGCCGCGUGAGGGAUGACGGCCUUCGGGUUGUAAACCUCUGUUAGCAGGGAAGAAGAGAGAUUGACGGUACCUGCAGAGAAAGCGCCGGCUAACUACGUGCCAGCAGCCGCGGUAAUACGUAGGGCGCGAGCGUUGUCCGGAAUUAUUGGGCGUAAAGAGCUUGUAGGCGGUUUGUCGCGUCUGCUGUGAAAGGCCGGGGCUUAACUCCGUGUAUUGCAGUGGGUACGGGCAGACUAGAGUGCAGUAGGGGAGACUGGAAUUCCUGGUGUAGCGGUGGAAUGCGCAGAUAUCAGGAGGAACACCGAUGGCGAAGGCAGGUCUCUGGGCUGUAACUGACGCUGAGAAGCGAAAGCAUGGGGAGCGAACAAAAUUAGAUNCCCUGGUAGUCCAUGCCGUAAACGUCCCCAUAAGGUGUGGGGGACAAUUCCCGUUAUCCGCGCCGUAGCUAACCGCAUUAAGUGCCCCGCCUGGGGAGUACGGCCGCAAGGUUAAAACUCAAAGAAAAUUGACGGGGGCCCGCACAAGCGGCGGAGCAUGCGGAUUAAUUCGAUGCAACGCGAAGAACCUUACCAAGGCUUGACAUAUACUGGACCGCAUCAGAGAUGGUGUUUCCCUUCGGGGCUGGUAUACAGGUGGUGCAUGGUUGUCGUCAGCUCGUGUCGUGAGAUGUUGGGUUAAGUCCCGCAACGAGCGCAACCCUCGUUCUAUGUUGCCAGCACGUUAUGGUGGGGACUCAUAGGAGACUGCCGGGGUCAACUCGGAGGAAGGUGGGGAUGACGUCAAAUCAUCAUGCCCCUUAUGUCUCGGGCUUCACGCAUGCUACAAUGGCCGGUACAGAGGGUUGCGAUACUGUGAGGUGGAGCUAAUCCCUAAAAGCCGGUCUCAGUUCGGAUUGGGGUCUGCAACUCGACCCCAUGAAGUCGGAGUCGCUAGUAAUCGCAGAUCAGCAACGCUGCGGUGAAUACGUUCCCGGGCCUUGCACACACCGCCCGUCA